rnacentral:tRNA from 1 species
AAGGCAGNGGAUUGUGAAUCCACCAUGCGCGGGUUCAAUUCCCGUCGUUCGCC